GCAUAUCAAUAAGCGGAGGAAAAGAAACCAACAGGGAUUGCCCUAGUAACGGCGAGUGAAGCGGCAACAGCUCAAAUUUGAAAUCUGGCGUCUUUGGCGUCCGAGUUGUAAUUUGCAGAGGGCGCUUUGGCAUUGGCAGCGGUCCAAGUUCCUUGGAACAGGACGUCACAGAGGGUGAGAAUCCCGUACGUGGUCGCUAGCCUUUACCGUGUAAAGCCCCUUCGACGAGUCGAGUUGUUUGGGAAUGCAGCUCUAAAUGGGAGGUAAAUUUCUUCUAAAGCUAAAUACUGGCCAGAGACCGAUAGCGCACAAGUAGAGUGAUCGAAAGAUGAAAAGCACUUUGGAAAGAGAGUUAAAAAGCACGUGAAAUUGUUGAAAGGGAAGCGCUUGCAGCCAGACUUGCCUGUAGUUGCUCAUCCGGGUUUUUACCCGGUGCACUCUUCUAUAGGCAGGCCAGCAUCAGUUUGGGCGGUUGGAUAAAGGUCUCUGUCACGUACCUCCUCUCGGGGAGAACUUAUAGGGGAGACGUAAUGCAACCAGCCUGGACUGAGGUCCGCGCAUCUGCUAGGAUGCUGGCGUAAUGGCUGUAAGCGGCCCGUCUUGAAACACGGACCAAGGAGUCUAACAUCUAUGCGAGUGUUUGGGUGUCAAGCCCGAGCGCGUAAUGAAAGUGAACGGAGGUGGGAACCUUUCGGGGUGCACCAUCGACCGAUCCUGAUGUCUUCGGAUGGAUUUGAGUAAGAGCAUAGCUGUUGGGACCCGAAAGAUGGUGAACUAUGCUUGAAUAGGGUGAAGCCAGAGGAAACUCUGGUGGAGGCUCGCAGCGGUUCUGACGUGCAAAUCGAUCGUCAAAUUUGGGCAUAGGGGCGAAAGACUAAUCGAACUAUCUAGUAGCUGGUCUGCG
rnacentral:rRNA from 1 species